rnacentral:lncRNA from 1 species
AUCAUGUACCAGUUCACUUUUUAUUUUGCAAACAAGUUUAAACUAUCAAAUUUUAUUUUAAUUGUGACACAAAGGUAAAGAAUUGGACAGACUGAGAGGGGGAAGAAUUAGCAAACCGGGCAGAAAAGAUGUCUUUCGUCGUAUAGAAGCUUCCUGGUGGGCCCAGGGCUCCAUGGAAGGGUCGGCCGACCCCACCUGGAGGUUCCUGGCCCUGCCACUCGAUUCUACGUCCCUCGGGAAGUCUUUCUGCACUUGUGUCGUUUCCUUUUGCC